ACUGGCAAACUUGGAGAGACAGAUCUAUGCUUUUGAAGGAAGCUACCUGGAAGACACUCAGAUGUAUGGCAAUAUUAUUCGUGGCUGGGAUCGGUAUCUGACCAACCAGAAAAACUCCAAUAGCAAAAACGAUCGAAGGAACCGGAAGUUUAAGGAAGCUGAGCGGCUCUUCAGUAAAUCCUCAGUUACUUCAGCAGCUGCAGUAAGUGCAUUGGCAGGAGUUCAGGAUCAGCUCAUUGAAAAGAGUAAGUUUAUU